rnacentral:rRNA from 1 species
AUUGAACGCUGGCGGCAGGCCUAACACAUGCAAGUCGAACGAGUGGCGGACGGGUGAGUAAUGCCUGGGAAUCUGGCUUAUGGAGGGGGAUAACGACGGGAAACGGUCGCUAAUACCGCGUACCAUAGGAUGAGCCCAAGUGGGAUUAGGUAGUUGGUGGGGUAAUGGCUAACCAAGGCGACGAUCCCUAGCUGGUCUGAGAGGAUGACCAGCCACACGGGAACUGAGACACGGCCCAGACUCCUACGGGAGGCAGCAGUGGGGAAUAUUGCGCAAUGGGGGCAAUCCUGACGCAGCCAUGCCGCGUGUAUGAAGAAGGCCUUCGGGUUGUAAAGGACUUUUAGCGGGGAGGCGGUACCUGAAGAAUAAGCACCGGCUAACUACGUGCCAGCAGCCGCGGUAAUAC